UUCUGUCGGAGGACAAACAGCCGGUGUGUUUAGUGUGCAGAGGUUCACAGAACCACAUCAAUCACACAUUCAGACCUAUCAGUGAAGUGAUUUCAUCAUAUAAGGAGGAGCUCAAUACAGCACUAAAAUCCUUACAAGAGAAACUUCAACACAAUGAAAACAUUAAAGAAGAGUUUGAAGAAACAGUUCAACACAUCAAGUAUCAAGCUCAGCACACAGAGCGUCAGAUUAAACAGCAGUUUGAGAAGCUUCAUCAGUUUCUCAGAGAUGAAGAAGAAGCUAAUCACUGCACUGAGAGAGUGAAGAGGAGCAGAAGAAGCAGAUGAUGAAGCAGAAGCUGGAGGAGAUGAACAGACACAUCUCAGAUCUUUCACGACUCAAUCAAAG